rnacentral:lncRNA from 1 species
AUGUUGGAUUUUUGGAUACAGACCAAACGCACCACAGUUCCUUUCAGCCCGGGCUGUCUCUCACCCCACUCCCCGGACCUGGGGUGCAUCGGUGGGCUCACGGAUUGCUUUAGGAUUGCUUUCUUCAAGUGCAGCUCCUGGGGUGUCACUGCAGCCCCCACUCCUGCACUGCGAUGCUGCGGGACCCCCUCCCCCCCCGGUGUGUUUUUUCCCCUCUACGCUCCGUGUGCUCACAUCCCACCUGCCGUCACAUCCCAUAAUAUAUUUGCAUCAUCCCAUACAAUUAUCGGGCAAACAUUUGCAUUACGCCCCAGCUCGGGACGUGCAAUAAACGCUGCUCAGUGCCACGCACCCCCCGGGAGCCACACAACCACAGGGGGCCGCAUCCCUACGGGUUGCCCCGCCGGGUGCGGUGACGGGGAUGAGGAGGGAACCCAGCAACGGAGCUCAGCGCCGGGUUCCGCUCCCCGCCUCCCACAGCCGCAGGUGGCUGCCGUCGCACCGGGGGGGGCUGCGGGUCCGUUUGCAGCCGCACAGCCACACUUUGCCGUCCGCCUCCGCCGUGAAACGCAGCGGAACGCUGUCCGGAGCCAAGGUGCGGUGCGUGCCGUCGCAGAACGGCUGAGAAAUAAAAAGAACCGCGGUUCUGCGAGAGGAAAAACUGCGGGAACCCCGCACCCAUCCCGCAACCCCUCCGGCCCAUCCCGCAGCCGCACACCUGCGCCCGGCUGUGCCCGCACGAGCACCACGCGUAUUUCUUUCCCUCCUUCAGCUCCACGCGGUACGGAAACGCGAUGCGGGGGGAGAGCGCAGCCCUCAGCCGGGCCACGAGAGCGGCCGCCCCGCGCCGCACCGCCGCCAUCCCGCACCGCCCCGGAACGGCCGCAGCUCCGCCGGGGCGGGAAANNNNNNNNNNCCCGCCGGGCCGGAAUUUGGGAUCUGCCGCGUCACAGCGGCCGCCCCGCCUCCUCCUCUUCUUUUUCUCUCUUUUUUCCCUCCUUUUUCUCUCUUUUUUCCCUUCUUUUUUUCUCUUUUCCCCCUUCUUUUUCUCGCUUCUUUUCCUUCUUUUUCCUUCUUUUGCCCCCUUUUCUUUUUUUCCUUCUUUUUCUCCUUUUUCUCUUUUCCCUUUGUUUUUCUUUUUCUUCUUUCUCCUUUUUCCCUUUAUUUCUUUUUCCCCCCUUAUUUCUUUUCUCUCUUUUUUUCCUUCUUUUUCUCUGUUUUUUCCCUUCUUUUUUUCUCUUUUCCCCCUGCUUUUUCUCGUUUCUUUUCCUUCUUUUCCCUUCUUUUCCCCCCUUUUCUUUUUUUCCUUUUCUCCUCUUUCUCUUUUUCCUUUUUUUUCUUUUUCCUCUUUCUUUUCUUGCUUUUCCUUCUCUUUUUUUCUUUCUUUUCCUUCUCUUUUUUUUCUCCUUUCUCUUUUUUCCCUUUAUUUCUUUUUCCCCCCUUAUUUUUUUUCUUUUCUUUUUUCUUUUCUUUUUUUAUCUUUUUUUCCUUUUCUACUUUUUCUUUUUUCCUUUUUUCGUCUUUUUUUUUCCCUUUUUUCCUCUUCUUUUUUCCUUUUUUUUCCCUCUCUUCCCCCUUUUUUUUUCUUUUCUUCUUCAUCUUUCUUCUUCUUUUCCCCCCUUUUUUCGUUUUUUUUUUCUUUCCUUUUUCUUUUUUCUUUUUUUCUUUCCAAUGUUUUUCACCUUUUUUCCCCCUUUUUUUCCUUCCUCCCCCCCAUUUCUUCUUUCUUUUUCUUCCACGUGCAUUAACGACACCUCCCACGUUCAUAUUAAUAUUAUUUAUUAUAAUAAAGAACAGUCAAGCAGCGUGAAAAAAAUAUAUCUUAGCUACAUUACCUUAAAUUGCCAAAAAUAUACACAUUUUUUUCUCUUUUAUUUAAUUAAAAAAAAAAAAACAACGAAACAGAACAAAACAAAAGAAAGACACAUGCAACGUACUAAAUGA